rnacentral:rRNA from 1 species
UACGGAGGGGGCUAGCGUUGUUCGGAAUUACUGGGCGUAAAGCGCGCGUAGGCGGAUCUGCAAGUCGGGGGUGAAAUCCCGAGGCUCAACCUCGGAACUGCCUUCGAUACUGCGGGUCUCGAGUCCGGGAGAGGUGAGUGGAAUUCCUAGUGUAGAGGUGAAAUUCGUAGAUAUUAGGAAGGAACACCAGUGGCGAAGGCGGCUCACUGGCCCGGUACUGACGCUGAGG